UACGUAGGGUGCAAGCGUUGUCCGGAAUUAUUGGGCGUAAAGAGCUCGUAGGCGGUCUGUCGCGUCGGAUGUGAAAACCCAGGGCUCAACCCUGGGCCUGCAUUCGAUACGGGCAGACUAGAGUUCGGUAGGGGGAGACUGGAAUUCCUGGUGUAGCGGUGAAAUGCGCAGAUAUCAGGAGGAACACCGGUGGCGAAGGCGGGUCUCUGGGCCGAUACUGACGCUGAGGAGCGAAAGCGUGGGGAGCGAACAGG
rnacentral:rRNA from 1 species